rnacentral:rRNA from 1 species
AGUGAACGCUGGCGGCAGGCCUAACACAUGCAAGUCGAGCGGGCGGCGGACGGGUUAGUAAUUUAUGGUGGUCUGACCGAUAGAGGGGGAUAACUACUGGAAACGUUGGCUAUUACCGCAUACUAUCGGGUGCACCCAUCUUGGAUUAGCUAGUAGGUGGGGUAACGGCUCACCUAGGCGACGAUCUCUAGCUUGUCUGAGAGGAUGAUCAGCCACACUGGGACUGAGACACGGCCCAGACUCCUACGGGAGGCAGCAGUGGGGAAUAUUGCACAAUGGGCGCAAGCCUGAUGCAGCCAUGCCGCGUGUAUGAAGAAGGCCUUAGGGUUGUAAAGUACUUUCAGCGGGGAGGCGUUACCCGCAGAAGAAGCACCGGCUAACUCCGUGCCAGCAGCCGCGGUAAUUC